GUGUUUAUUUGCUGUGCUACUACUUUGCUUCCACUUAUAGGCAAGUUCUAUAAUCUCAACACCAAUUGUUUCCUCCUUAGGGAUUGGUAUUGCUUCCUACUAUUAAGAAUAACCGAUCUCAGAGGAAGCAACGUCAAAGAAAAACUGCCUAAGAUGAACAACACUAGAAUAAACUUUUGUUGCCAAAAACAAGGGAAAGCUGAGAGAGAGGUACAACGGGUGCUUAUGAUUUCAAAUUAUGAGUUGUACCUCAAAAAAUACUGAGGCUAAGGCUGUAAAAGAAUCAAACUGUUCAAUAACAGUUUUACUUAGAGCUUGGUUCGGUCCGUUUAAUAAACAAGUCGAGCUAGAACAAUAAUUAUUACUCUAAUAUUAAACGAUUCAAAUUUGGAUAAAUUCGGCUUGGCUUGGUUUAAGAUUGUUAGCAAUGGCUCGAUAAGUUUGUUGAUAUAUAUAUAUAUACCCAUUAAAAUAUUAACUUUAUAUGAAUGGGAGUAUAUGUAUGUAUUCAAAUAUGUAUACGAUAAUAACUUUACUAUAUUAACAUAUACAUAAAUACAACUAAAAUAUGCUAGUGUAUACUAAACAAGUUUGCAACAGGAAUUCAACUUAGUAAAGGCCCAUUCAAGUUGUCUUCGCCCACAUUUUCAUAUGCGAUAACUUUAUUUGAAUGCGUUAUCGAAGAAAGAAGCCUACUUGAAGAAAUAUUUGAAAAGUGUGUGAGUGGUAGGGUAUACGUUUGAAAAGUAAUUUGUAUUCUAAAAAUCUGUUUGGUAACAUAACAAAGAAGAGAAUUUUUCAGUGUUUAGUUAAAAAUAGUGUUUAGAUAGCAAACCAAACACACUCUUUAAGAAUUUUAUUUGUUUGUGUGGAGCUCUUAGGAAAAGCCAAAGGUAGUUGGAUUGCUGGUGAUGGUGUCAUUUCAUUGUUGUCCCAACUUUGACCCUUUUGUCACUUGCAAUUGACGAGUGGAGCUUUUGGUAGGGCGGCCAUAACUUUAUCAACAAAUUCAAGUCUAGAUUCGGUCUUCUCAGCCCCCGCUCCUUUCCUUCUGGAGAUGAUGAUGAAAAGCAUUGAUUGGCUCAAUUAUCCACAUCAAGCUUGAAAAUCCGAGAAAGGCCACCGAAAGCAGGAAAAAAAGCAGGCCCACCACCACCACUGUCUCCGUCUCCGUCGUCUAUAUUAUCAAUGAAAAGAAUUGAGAUGGAAGUUCAGGCCACUCCAUAUAUGGCUCUAUGGAUGAUGCCUUAAUUAACUUUCUCCUCCGAUCCACCCCUUUGCUUUCUGCAAUUUUUCCCUUUAUUAUUAUUAUUAUUAAUAUUGUUGUUAAAGCAAAGAUCAGAUAUGCUGGAGGUGCGGAAGGGUCGUAUUUCCGGUGACGGCCGGGAAAUCAACGAUCUCUGCAAGUGCCAUCUCUCCUGUAACAAUGUAGAAAUGAAUUCUCCAUCUCCCGACGGUGGAAGAGCGACAAUGAUUUCACGCAGGAACAUAUUCCUGCCACCGCAGCUUUACAAAAUGGGAAGACACGUGUCAGAAGGCCACCUCUCGACAUUACCAGCACUAAGAAUGCCAAGCUCGUUCCCUGCAGCUGCCUGCCCAAACAAUUGAAAUUAUUGUUAUUAUUAUUUGAGUAAUGCUAUAUACUAUAUCUCAUCUCAAUUCCGCUCGCUUUUAUAAUUUUGUUGGGACGAUCGAUGAUCAAGCUUGUUCGUUGGCUCUUGGAUCAAGCAUGCUGAUCUUUAAUUUCCUUGGUCUCUCUGUCAUCACUUUUUUACUGGUUAGGCUGGAGUGUGAUUGUGCAAGAUCUGUUGUUUUUGGAUUUUUUUUUCUUUCUGAAAUUUCUUUGUAAUAUAUUAUAUAUAUAGAGGCCACCCCCUCUUUUCCCCAUGGUGCUUGCGGAGAGAGAGUUUGGGGUGAGUUUCUAUUGUGAAUUUGUGAUACCUCCAGAGAAAGAUCGAGAGAGGAACCGUGUGAGAGAGAAAUGGCAAGAGAGCGAUGCAAACAAGCUGGAAGAAGCAGCGGGACUUUUGAUGUUAAAGUUUUUUUUUUUUUUUUUUUUUUUUUUUUUUUUUUUUUUUUUUUUUCUUCUUCUUUUUUACAUCGUCCAAACAAAGGAAGAAGGAUUUCAACUAAUGAUUUUCGCUUCAUGAAGCGUGGUUCCCGGCUUAUUGAGCUAUCCCUUGGAGACAAUAAUGUUGUAGUUUUAAUAAGUAAUUCCAUGAGUUUUUUUUUUGUCC